rnacentral:tRNA from 1 species
UGUCUUUGUAGCUCAAUGGGUAGAGCAUUUACCUUGUAAGUAAGAGGUUGUAGGUUCGAGUCCUACUAAAGGCA